UACGGGGGGGGCAAGCGUUGUUCGGAAUUACUGGGCGUAAAGGGCUCGUAGGCGGCCAACUAAGUCAGACGUGAAAUCCCCAGGCUCAACCUGGGAACUGCGUCUGAUACUGGAUGGCUUGAGUUUGGGAGAGGGAUGCGGAAUUCCAGGUGUAGCGGUGAAAUGCGUAGAUAUCUGGAGGAACACCGGUGGCGAAGGCGGCAUCCUGGACCAACACUGACACUGAGGAGCGAAAGCCAGGGGAGCAAACAGG
rnacentral:rRNA from 1 species